ACGAACUGCUCAUGGGUCGUUCUUCAAAGGAAACGUAAACUGGCUGAAAACUGGCCUGUAAAAAUUCCCUUUAGAUCGUAAAAUUUCACUUAAGAUAAACUAACCACGGGUUUUAUUUGUUUUGCGAGAGAAAUGAAGACAACCGAUUAGCAUUAAUGUUUCAGUUUGAACACAAGGUGGCAGCACUGUGUUGGGAGAAAACAGCUCAAGUGGUGAAAAACAACCAGGUUUGUGUGACGUUUCCACCUCGGACUCACCUGCUCCUGGCCCAGCUGGACUGCAGUCUGCUUGAUGAUGUUCUCCUUCUCCAGCAGCUCCUUCUGCUGACGCUCAAAAUCCUCUUUACCCUUCGGAUGGAAACAGGGUUCAUUGGCGGCGCAUUGAGGACCGUAGAGUGAUGAUGUCACCAACAGCCACAGAAACAGAGAAAACCCUUUCCUACACAGGUGAGAGGGGCCUGGAAGGGGCGGGGCUACACACCUGGAUCCCAGCGCUGUUGAACAGACGCCUUGUGAACUCGCCUGCGUGUGGCGGUGAGCGACUCAAGGCUCUUUCAGCAGCGCCUUGUUUGCUUUGGGUCGUUCAGGCAGGUUGAGCUUUAACACAUUUAAACGUUACGUGACAUCAGCGAUGACAUCAUGUUAUCGCUUUAAGCCACUGAGCCACGUUCAAACGCUCCGUCUGGUAUGAAAGACUUCAUUCAAGGAUCAAGUGAAAACAGGAUGUUGUGAGUUCAUCCUCCAUUACUCAUAAUGUCGACAAGAAGGGAAGAAAUCUUUUCUUCUGUAAUCAGAAAACUGAAAUCAUAAAGAAUUUUUUUUUACCAGCAAAAACUUAAAUUAUGCUGUUUUAAUUAUCGAGUCAUCUGGUUUUCAGAUGGAAUAAAGGAAAAAACCCCGAUAUAUUCAGCCUUUAUGUAAACUAAGUGAUGCUGUAAGCUUCUGAUUGAAUCGUUUAUGAUUUAAUUUUAAUCUGAUUUAUCU